AUAUUAGAUAGAGGCGCGAAUUGUUAAGAAGUUUUUACCAUAAGAUGCAAACCAGGUAAAAAGGGAGGAGCGUUCGCCGAAGAGAUAAAUGAUUGCAUGCGUUUAUCCUCUGGGCUUAUAGUGAAGAUCUAUAAGACUGUCAUUAUCAAUAGAUAAUGGUGAGCUAUCAUUGUU
rfam:Coprobacillus sp. CAG:183 genomic scaffold, scf340